UACAGUCUGUGCAUCUCGACAACCGCGGGCUUAAAUAACCCGAACAAGAAUUUAAAAGGGAUUCAGGCUCGCAUUAUGGGUAUGCAGACCUCCCGCCUUUCGGCGGAAGCUGGGAGCACAAAGUAAUGCGGAUGAAACCCACCUGCGUAGAGAGCAGGUUAUCUUCAGUCCACGGCGGAUGUGCGGAUUUUUC
rnacentral:other from 1 species